CACGCCCGGUCGUACUCAUAACCG
rnacentral:snRNA from 1 species